rnacentral:rRNA from 1 species
UAAAGCUCUGUUUGUUAAAAGAAAGAACGUGGGGUGAGAGUAACUGUUCAUCCCAGUUGACGGUAUUUAACCAGAAAGGCACGGCUAACUACGUGCCAGCAGCCGCGGUAAUACGUAGGUGGCAAGCGUUAUCCGGAUUUAUUGGGCGUAAAGCGAGCGCAGGCGGUCUUUUAAGUCUAAUGUGAAAGCCUUCGGCUCAACCGAAGAAGUGCAUUGGAAACUGGGAGACUUGAGUGCAGAAGAGGACAGUGGAACUCCAUGUGUAGCGGUGAAAUGCGUAGAUAUAUGGAAGAACACCAGUGGCGAAGGCGGCUGUCUGGUCUGUAACUGACGCUGAGGCUCGAAAGCAUGGGUAGCGAACAGGAUUAGAUACCCUGGUAGUCCAUGCCGUAAACGAUGAUUACUAAGUGUUGGAGGGUUUCCGCCCUUCAGUGCUGCAGCUAACGCAUUAAGUAAUCCGCCUGGGGAGUACGACCGCAAGGUUGAAACUCAAAAGAAUUGACGGGGGCCCGCACAAGCGGUGGAGCAUGUGGUUUAAUUCGAAGCUACGCGAAGAACCUUACCAGGUCUUGACAUCUUCUGCCAACCUAAGAGAUUAGGCGUUCCCUUCGGGGACAGAAUGACAGGUGGUGCAUGGUUGUCGUCAGCUCGUGUCGUGAGAUGUUGGGUUAAGUCCCGCAACGAGCGCAACCCUUAUUACUAGUUGCCAGCAUUCAGUUGGGCACUCUAGUGAGACUGCCGGUGACAAACCGGAGGAAGGUGGGGACGACGUCAAAUCAUCAUGCCCCUUAUGACCUGGGCUACACACGUGCUACAAUGGAUGGUACAACGAGUCGCGAAACCGCGAGGUUUAGCUAAUCUCUUAAAACCAUUCUCAGUUCGGACUGUAGGCUGCAACUCGCCUACACGAAGUCGGAAUCGCUAGUAAUCGCGGAUCAGCAUGCCGCGGUGAAUACGUUCCCGGGCCUUGUACACACCGCCCGUCACACCAUGAGAGUUUGUAACACCCAAAGCCGGUGGGGUAACCUUUAGGAGCUAGCCGUCUAAGUGAACCGAUUGGG